AGGCGGAGGAAAGACCGAGAGGAGGAGGAGGAGGAGGAGGAGAGGAGUGGAUGGAGAGCUGCAGACGACGGAGGAGGGGGGGAAGGUAUUUCUACUGAUGGAUCAAACAGUGUGAUGAGCAGCAUGCUGGGCAGGCUAUCUCCACCCUUCCUCCUCCUCCUCCUUCGUCCGUGAGUCCUUCCCGGA